GAUGAACGCUGGCGGCGUGCCUAAUACAUGCAAGUCGAGCGAACGGACGAGAAGCUUGCUUCUCUGAUGUUAGCGGCGGACGGGUGAGUAACACGUGGAUAACCUACCUAUAAGACUGGGAUAACUUCGGGAAACCGGAGCUAAUACCGGAUAAUAUUUUGAACCGCAUGGUUCAAAAGUGAAAGUCGGUCUUGCUGUCACUUAUAGAUGGAUCCGCGCUGCAUUAGCUAGUUGGUAAGGUAACGGCUUACCAAGGCAACGAUGCAUAGCCGACCUGAGAGGGUGAUCGGCCACACUGGAACUGAGACACGGUCCAGACUCCUACGGGAGGCAGCAGUAGGGAAUCUUCCGCAAUGGGCGAAAGCCUGACGGAGCAACGCCGCGUGAGUGAUGAAGGUCUUCGGAUCGUAAAACUCUUUUAUUAGGGAAGAACAUAUGUGUAAGUAACUGUGCACAUCUUGACGGUACCUAAUCAGAAAGCCACGGCUAACUACGUG
rnacentral:rRNA from 1 species